GUUCAGACAUUUGGUGUAUGUGC
rnacentral:piRNA from 1 species